GGGCCCGUAGCUCAGCCCGGUAGAGCGGCGGCCUCCGGAGCCGUAGGACCCGGGUUCAAAUCCCGGCGGGCCCGCCA
rnacentral:tRNA from 1 species